rnacentral:rRNA from 1 species
UACGUAGGGUCCGAGCGUUGUCCGGAAUUAUUGGGCGUAAAGGGCUCGUAGGCGGCCGAUCAAGUCGGGGGUGAAAGCCUGUGGCUCAACCACAGAAUUGCCUUCGAUACUGGUUGGCUUGAGACCGGAAGAGGUAAGUGGAACUGCGAGUGUAGAGGUGAAAUUCGUAGAUAUUCGCAAGAACACCAGUGGCGAAGGCGGCUUACUGGUCCGGUUCUGACGCUGAGGCGCGAAAGCGUGGGGAGCAAACAGG